rnacentral:lncRNA from 1 species
GGAUAUUCUAGGUUAGACUUCCUCGAAACACAGCCUGACAUGGGGAUUCUUGUGAAAAUGACUAAUUGAAGGAGUGUUAUUAGGGAAAAAAUAAGCGAGUGAGGGAAGUGGGACAAGGCAUGGGCAGAAGCUGGGAAAGGAUGUGAUUUAAGGAAGAGUCUAGGCUCAGUUGGAUCUCAACGGUAGCUCUGGAGUGUGAAUUAUACCACAGAGAUUGCCCUUGCUGCCCCCAAGGGGAGGAUGGGGUCCCAGACAUCUCCAGGUAGAAUGGCUCCACCAGUUGCAGACAGUCCUUCAGAAAAGAGUGUAGGUAUGAGGGGUUAGCAGCCCAAACCUGUAGUGUCCGGGGCAUAAAUGCAUUGAAAGCAUCAGCUAAUAAAGGGUACCUGGGCAGGGCUCCAACAGCAUAGGCUAUAGAGGAUGAAUCAGGAUCAUCUCACUGGAAGUGGAGGGACUAUAAGGAGUUGCCAGGAAAAGCAUGAUGUGUGGUGAGGGAGAGAAAGGGGUAAAUUUAAGAGAUAUCUAUGAGAUAGAAUUGAUGGAAUUUGGUGAUUAGUUUGGAUAUGACAGUGGUAGAGGAGAGAGAGGAUUCCAGGUGCACCUCAGUUUGGGAUCUGGGCGGCUGGGUGCCUAUUGUCUAGGAACUAUUUUUUGUUGUAGGGGUUUAGGUGAGGAAUAGAUUUGUGAGCAAUGUUGUUGAAUUUGGAUUUGCUUUCCUCAAAUUAGGGUUCCUUGCCAAACACCCAGGGACUGAUGGUCAGUGGGCAGGUAGAAAUCCAUUGCUGUAGCUCAGAGGAGAGAGCUAAGCUGGAGAGUUUUAGACAUCAUCAGAGUCUGGCAAUCAAAGCUGAAAGGUUGACAAGAUUACCCAGGGAGAGGAAGACAAUGUAGACCAUGCUUAAGACAACUCCCAUGGUACCUUAUACCCAGCAGAAGCUUAGUACAUGUUGAAUUGAAUUGCAAAUAUUUAAUAAAGUGCUCUUUCUGGCUCCCAAACCCAGUUCCCCAUCAGACGUCAUUGACAAAAGAUCAGUGGGCUAAAAAUGACAUUGGUUGUACGUUUUGAAAUUGUGACAUGGAGAUUCGUUCAAUGAGAGACAUCAGUAGACCCUGGGUUGCCUCUUUCUACUCCCAGCCUGAGCUUUCAGCCAGGGGUCUCGCCAACCUAUCCUGUCUUCUCAGAGCUGGCUGUGUGGGAUUCCAAAAGGGGUGUGCAGAUGUCCCAGGGACCUUCUUUCUACAGGCACUUCUAAGAGAAGCAAGAGAUGCACAAAGAGACCUGUAAAAAGGGGAGAGCAAUACUUCUAUCCACACAACCCUAGGUGCCUUGCCCCUGGGGAUAACAGGAAUGGAGAAAUCUCCUUUAUUAUCAACAUCUUUGUGGUCACUCACCUUGU